AACUUUUAACAACGGAUCUCUUGGCUCUCGCAUCGCUGAAGAACGCAGCGAAAUGCGAUACGUAAUGUGAAUUGCAGAAUUCAGUGAAUCAUCGAAUCUUUGAACGCACAUUGCACUCUCUGGUAUUCCGGAGAGUUCGCUUUUUUGAGUAACUGUAAACAUCUCAAAUCUCUCGACUCUCGAGUUUUAGCGUUUUGGGCUUGAGCACUCCCAACUCCUUCGUCAGAAAGAGGAGGGUUGCUUGAAAUGCAGGUGCAGCUGGGCAUUCUUCUGAGCUAAAAGCAUAUUUAUUUAGUCCCGUCAAACGGAUUAUUAUUCUUGCUUCAGCUUACAUAAAGGUUGAAUGACUACCGAGGCUGAUUGCAGGUAAACUCGUUCCGUUAAAAAGAACUUGUGAACUCGAUCUCAAAUCAAGUAAGACUACCCGCUGAACUUAAGCAUAUCAAUAAGCGGAGGCU
rnacentral:misc_RNA from 1 species